CUCUCACGUGGUCGGUGUAGCACUACACUUGAUCGCGGACACUGGGGCCCCUUCACUCACAAUGGCAGGCGCCAGUGGGCAGCACUCACACAUGCUAAUACAGGUCAGUUGUCAGGUCAGUGCUCAACUUAUCCUUGUUUGCCAGUAACUUUCAAACUGGAUCCU